rnacentral:rRNA from 1 species
UACGAAGGGGGCUAGCGUUGUUCGGAAUUACUGGGCGUAAAGGGCGCGUAGGCGGUGUGUCAAGUCAGGCGUGAAAGCCCCGGGCUCAACCUGGGAACCGCGCUUGAGACUGGCACGCUCGAGUUCGGGAGAGGAUGAUGGAACUCCCAGUGUAGAGGUGAAAUUCGUAGAUAUUGGGAAGAACACCGAUGGCGAAGGCAGCCAUCUGGACCGACACUGACGCUGAGGCGCGAAAGCUAGGGGAGCAAACAGG